rnacentral:ncRNA from 2 species
UUGAAUAUUCGUUAUGACGGUGUGCAGCUUCAAAAAGGAGCUGCGCUUAAAAGGGAAGAUGGUGAAAAUCCAUCACGGUACCCGCCACUGUAAACGGUGAGUUUUAUUGCACAAUGCCACUGAAUGCUCGGGAAGGCGCAAUAAAAUGAUGAACCAAAGUCAGGAGACCUGCCGUCACAACAACUACUUC